rnacentral:rRNA from 1 species
UCCAAAUAGCAUAUCACCCUGGAACUCACAACUGGCAGCCCACUGAAGCUAAGCAGGUGUGAGCCUGGUCAGUACCUGGAUGGGAGACCUCCUGGGAAAAACUAAGGUUGCUGCUGGAA